rnacentral:lncRNA from 1 species
CAUUUUUGUAAUGUUUCACAAAUCCACGUAUGUAGUUUUAUUUAAAAUAAAUACUAUGUUUUAAUUAAUAGUGGGAUUCUAAAGUAAAUUGAAAUUAUCAACAAUCGUGAAUUCGAACAUGUAUAUAGUCUAUAUAUAAUGACCUUGCGGCUCCUUCAAACACUGAACUACACCUGGUGGACCAUUUUCACAUUCUUGAAUGACGAAAAGUCUCUUCACUAAUGCAUACCCAUGCAUUAUCGUAAUGGCAACACCUGAACCAUGAGUCAUUAGCUUUAUGGUUAGCAUUGUAGUGAAGUUUUGUACAUGUUGGUGUAGUUACAAUAAUUUCAAUAACAAAAGCAAAACCACAUUCUUUCUCAUGGACUAAAUCUUUGCCAUAAGAGAACUUCUCGCUGCAAUCAUGUUGGCAUUUGGGCAUGUCACAAUGACUGCUUCCACAAAUGCCAAACAUGGCUGCACCAAGAAGUUCUCUUACGACAAAGAGUUCUUCCGAUGAGAAGGAAUGCGGUUUUGCUUUAUAUAUGUUACUGAAACUGCAACUACACAAGCAUGUACAAAGAUCUCUAUCAUCACUACAAAGUUAACCACAUGUACAUGUGUAAUGACGCAUGGUCAGAUGAUGUUUUUCUGACACGAUUAUCUUAUGCUAGAGGCAAAUAUUCUAGUAUCAUGUUGAUAACGUUGAUCAAAUAAGCAAACUUCCAAAUAAUUUAUUGAUUUUGAUCAUCUCGAUACUUCCACUUAAGAACCAGUGAAAACCAGUGUUCUGUCAAAAUGAUGGGUGGAUCUUUGGAAACAAAGCCACCAUCUUCUAUUGGACUUGAAAAUAAAAUCCACCAAACUUAUGCAUAAAUUUUUCGUUCGUUUAGCUAGAUUGACGGCCAAGAAAAAUUAACAAAUUUUGGUCAUCAAUCUAGCUAAAUAAAGAAAAAAUAGUGCAUAAGUAUGGUGGAGUUUUCUCUUGAUAUUUCUUAUGUCUAAGAAGACGAGGUGAGAUAUAUUCCAUAAAUCUACUUAUCGUUUUGAUGUAACUAGUAUCUUUUUAUUUUCUUAGGAGAGUGUAUUGUAAUUCUUCUUAAACACUUUACUCUUACCAAUUUAUCAUGUAUCAAUAUUAAUUAGUACGGCACAAUAGUAUAAUUGACAUAAGAAUGCGGAAACAACAUAUAGUCCACGCUGAAAUCAAUGAAGUAAGAAAAUGGAAACUUAAUUCAUUCGCAAACAUAACAUUAUUUGUUAUACAAAAAUGAAAAUAACAGAUAUUAACUAUCAAAACAAACAUAACCAAUUCAUAUAGUCAUGCAGAUCGAAAUUAUCAAUCAGACGAUAUAUUUAUCAAUCUUGCAAAGAAACAAAAACAAAGAUUUUACAAUUAAGAGAGAUGAAGAUCGGACCGUAAUGCUUUCAUUCCCCAGAAGAAGAGAUGAGAUGGGAUUCAGAUUCAGACAAUAAUACCUAUCGAUGUAACCUUUUCUUUUCCCCAAAAGAAGUACACAUCAAAUUCCCACCAUCAUGGAUCCAUCAUCCUUUUAGGAGAUGCUUGUUUUGUUUUUUUCCUCUUACUCUCUUGAACAAGAACAACAAGGCCAAGAUCUCCAUCGUGUGUUUCGUAUGUCUGAAAAUCCCUCUGAACUUUUUAUUAUAGUUUUGAUGAGACUUGUUUGGUGGAAGUUUGGUGGUUCUGAUGAUGAUGAGAGAGAGCGAAGAAAUUAUGGCUUAUAAAAAAGAAGAAGAGACAUGAUGAUUACUGAUUGGUACAAACAUUGAAAAUAGUUAUAAAAAGAGAAGUAAAUUGUCAAAACAAUCACAACUAUUUAC